AUACGUAGGGUGCGAGCGUUAAUCGGAAUUACUGGGCGUAAAGCGUGCGCAGGUGGUUUUGUAAGUCAGAUGUGAAAUCCCCGGGCUUAACCUGGGAACUGCGUUUGAAACUGCAAGGCUAGAGUGUGGCAGAGGGGGGUGGAAUUCCGCGUGUAGCAGUGAAAUGCGUAGAGAUGUGGAGGAACACCAAUGGCGAAGGCAGCCCCCUGGGUCAACACUGACGCUCAGGCACGAAAGCAUGGGGAGCAAACAGGAUUAGAAACCCCAGUAGUCC
rnacentral:rRNA from 1 species